UUUAAAUUCAUAGAUUUUAGCUUAUGACAUUUUACUGAGAACAUCACAGCAAGAUGAAACAAAUAUUGUUGCAUUCUCUAGAUUCUGCAUUCACCAGAUUCUCACAUUUCAUUUGUGUUAUAGAGCCUCACAGUGGAGGUGUUAUAAUACCCAUAACACCUAGCGGUCAAACAGGGAAAUGGUUCCAAUAGUUUUAUAGAGCCCCACAGUGGAGGUGUCAUAAUACCCAUAACACCUAGUGGUCAAACAGGGAAAUGGUUCCAAUAGUUUUAUAGAGCCCCACAGUGGAGGUGUUAUAAUACCCAUAACACCUAGCGGUCAAACAGGGAAAUGGUUCCAAUAGUUUUAUAGAGCCCCACAGUGGAGGUGUUAUAAUACCCAUAAUACCUAGCAGUCAAACAGGGAAAUGGUUCCAAUAGUUUUAUAGAGCCCCACAGUGGAGGUGUCAUAAUACCCAUAACACCUUGUGGUCAAACAGGGAAAUGGUUCCAAUAGUUUGAUAGAGCCCCACAGUGGAGGUGUCCUAAUACCCAUAACACCUAGCGGUCAAACAGGGAAAUGGAUCCAAUAGUUUUAUAGAGCCCCACAGUGGAG
rnacentral:lncRNA from 1 species